UAGGGAAUCUUCGGCAAUGGACGGAAGUCUGACCGAGCAACGCCGCGUGAGUGAAGAAGGUUUUCGGAUCGUAAAGCUCUGUUGUAAGAGAAGAACGAGUGUGAGAGUGGAAAGUUCACACUGUGACGGUAUCUUACCAGAAAGGGACGGCUAACUACGUGCCAGCAGCCGCGGUAAUACGUAGGUCCCGAGCGUUAUCCGGAUUUAUUGGGCGUAAAGCGAGCGCAGGCGGUUAGAUAAGUCUGAAGUUAAAGGCUGUGGCUUAACCAUAGUACGCUUUGGAAACUGUUUAACUUGAGUGCAGAAGGGGAGAGUGGAAUUCCAUGUGUAGCGGUGAAAUGCGUAGAUAUAUGGAGGAACACCGGUGGCGAAAGCGGCUCUCUGGUCUGUAACUGACGCUGAGGCUCGAAAGCGUGGGGAGCAAACAGGAUUAGAUACCCUGGUAGUCCGCGCCGUAAACGAUGAGUGCUAGGUGUUGGGUCCUUUCCGGGACUCAGUGCCGCAGCUAACGCAUUAAGCACUCCGCCUGGGGAGUACGACCGCAAGGUUG
rnacentral:rRNA from 1 species